UUUUGUGCAGAUGUCCCUGAAAGACGUGAGCAACUGUAGAUACCGCCCUGGAUAUUUCAUUUGCAUCAUUGCCCAUGCUGAAUUGGUCAUCACACUCGUACACCAUCAUGUCAGGCAAAGAUGGGCAUCGGGAGCUGGAGCUGACAGAGGGAACUCAUCUGCGCUCUCCACGGAUUCGAACCGGCAACCUUCAGUUCCGCAGUUACAAUUCUGGUCUACCUCCCUCAGGACAUCAUAA
rnacentral:lncRNA from 1 species